GACGAACGCUGGCGGCGUGCUUAACACAUGCAAGUCGAACGGAAAGGCCUGCUUUCCCUUGUGGAUUGCGGGUACUCGAGUGGCGAACGGGUGAGUAACACGUGAGUGAUCUGCCCCCAACUUGGGUAUAAGCCUGGGAAACUGGGUCUAAUUCCCGAUAGGACUGGAGGGUGGUGCCUGUGGUGGAAAACGAUUUUCUAGUGGUUGGGGAUGAGCUCGCGGCCUAUCAGCUUGUUGGUGGGGUAAUGGCCUACCAAGGCGGCGACGGGUAGCCGGCCUGGGAGGGUGGACGGCCACAUUGGGACUGAGAUACGGCCCAGACUCCUACGGGAGGCAGCAGUGGGGAAUAUUGCACAAUGGGCGGAAGCCUGAUGCAGCGACGCCGCGUGGGGGAUGACGGCCUUCGGGUUGUAAACUCCUUUCGACCGCGAGGAAGCCACCUGGUUGGAAGGGUGGUGACGGUAGUGGUAGAAGAAGCACCGGCUAACUACGUG
rnacentral:rRNA from 1 species